ACAGCUGGGACCCUCAUAUGUAUUUCCGGGUUUCCACUGUGCUGCUGCUCACUGUUGGUUGUGGCGUUGGUUGUUAAUAAAACAAUCUCAAAUCUCCAACUCGACUCAUCGCUGAACGAAUUCAUCUCUAAAACUCGAGGAUCUGCGGUUGGGCUUUGUUGAUGCCUGGUUUACCUUCUGAUGAGAACAAGUAACAUCCACUUCCUCAGACAAUCCGUUACUCGACGGUCAGGUUUUUUUUUUCUCCCCCUUCAUCGACUCGCUUGCUGACGGAGGAUGGCGAGCUACCCACACACCACCUGGUGGUAGGAAAAAGAAAGACACUCUCCACACAGGAAAACCAAACAACACUUUCCAUACAGGAAACAAAAUAAACUCUAAGGGAGUAUCUAAAGGAAAAGAACAAUUCUCCCGUUGCUCUUGGACUUUUGAACUACAUUUGGUUUUGAAGUAUUAUUGAUUAUUUCUUUUUUUUGGUUUGUUCUUUUUUCCCCGUCCUUGUUUCUUUUGAA